rnacentral:rRNA from 1 species
GACGAACGCUGGCGGCGUGCUUAACACAUGCCAGUCGAACGGAAAGGCCCCCACCUUGGUGGGGGUGCUCGAGUGGCGAACGGGUGAGUAACACGUGGGUGAUCUGCCCUGUACUUCGGGAUAAGCUUGGGAAACUGGGUCUAAUACCGGAUAGGACCAUGGUUUAGUGUCUCAUGGUGGAAAAAUUAUUGUUUUGGUGCAGGAUGAGCUCGCGGCCUAUCAGCUUGUUGGUGGGGUAAUGGCCUACCAAGGCGUCGACGGGUAGCCGGCCUGGGAGGGUGGACGGCCAGAUUGGGACUGAGAUACGGCCCAGACUCGUACGGGAGGCAGCAGUGGGGAAUAUUGCACAAUGGGCGCAAGCCUGAUGCAGCGACGCCGCGUGGGGGAUGACGGCCUUCGGGUUGUAAACUCCUUUCGUUAGGGACGAAGCCACACCUUUUUUGGGUGUGGUGACGGUACCUUUGUUAAGAAGCACCGGCUAACUACGUG